ACGCUCGACACCUACGGAGGCAGCAGUGGGGGAUAUUGCACAAUGGGGGAAACCCUGAUGCAGCAACGCCGCGUGAAGGAAGAAGGUCUUCGGAUUGUAAACUUCUGUCCUCAGGGAAGAUAAUGACGGUACCUGAGGAGGAAGCUCCGGCUAACUACGUGCCCGCAGCCGCGGUAAUCUGAGCGGGCGUGGCAAGGC
rnacentral:rRNA from 1 species